AAUCCGCUGACUGGAUUAUAAUAAUAGUCGCUAUACGCCAAACUGCAGCACAGUUGACUCCAUCUGUUCGUUUGUACAAUAAACACGUUUAAAGUAAUCCAAUAGUUACACGUAAUACACGAACCCAGUUUUUAAUAUUGAAGUUAAUUGCUCAAUAAAAACACUAUACGUAGGUAUAUCCAUACUUUAUCUCUUGUACAUUUUGUAUCUUAAUUUAAAAUCACGGUGUACGUGUGUUGGUACGAUGAUAAAAUUUAAUCGGCGUAAUAAAAAUCUCGUUAUUUUAUUAUUGACAAUUAAAAAAUGUUCUGGUUGUUGUCGAUAAAACUAUUUCAAACCAAAAAUCGGGAAAGUAUUUAAUCAUUUAACAACGUUAGACCAACGACCAACGACGUUUAUGCAAAUUUACUGCAGGAGUCACGGGGUGUUGGUAGUGCAAAAUAAUAAGUCGAAUUCGGUGUGUCACGUACAGAGAACACGUCAUUUUGCAGUGUGUCGCGUCCCAUUCGCGAUUUAAUUUUAAAUUAAAUUCUUUCUGUUCGCGACACUCGUAUUAUAAAUACGACGGAAACGUAUCUGUGCGUGAUGUCUCUCGCGCGAAAUCAAUCGA